UCUUGUUUCUUAUCCAAAGAUUGCAUCCAUUAUAAAGCUUUCGAUUUGUUCUGAUGUGAAUUCCCCAAUGCUUUUUAAAAGCUAAAAGCAUGGCAUUCUGUUGUAGGAAAUUACAAUUGCAAUGUUUUUGUAGCUUUAGUUCAUUUCUAAUGAUUUGUUAUAAUAUAGGCCAAGACCUUUUGAAAUCUGGGACAUUCAUGGGCAUCUGAUGUGGAAAUCAACCCCAGUAAUAAGAUGCUACUUCGGAAAGGAGUUCUUCAUGCCAUCAUUUUUAAUUUGAGUUACUACAUUCACUACUGAUUGAUUCACCCUGAUUAAACUAUUACCUUUAAAGUUCACUGUUUGGUCUAUGAAUAACUGGCCUUUAUGAUUCUAAGGUAGAAAGCUUAAGUUUAAUAGAAGAUUUUGUAUAGUGUUUAACAAUAGAAAUUUUCACAAAGCAGCUUUAUUGAAAUCAAAUAAUUAAAUUGGGUCUAUAAACUUUUGGAGUGUUUAACUGUAAAAUACACUACUCUUGGGAUUAUAAUCAUAACCAUCGCCAUUAGUCAAAAUUGUGCACUUUUUGCUAUUUGGUAAAUAGCACCAUCUAGUGGUAGGUUUGGUCUAUGGCAAAUUUUGACGGUAAAACUAACACACCUGAAGACUCGAAACACACGAAUAUACAGCAAUAAGGAAGCGUGUAUCAAAUCACAACUUAUAAGGUCAAAGUUAUUAAAUGGUUAUGCGUGGACAGAUUGAUUUUAAGGCAUGUUCAGUCCAGGGGUUGAAAAAUUAUUCAGACCCUAGAACACAAAUAAUUGAGCUCUUGGAAAUGAUUUUGUCAAAGGGACAACGUUUAUGCAUUGACUUCCUGGAACUGCUGAAAGAAGAAGAGGUGAAUGAAAGCAGCCCACAGCUCAAAGAGUGGAUAACGUCAGUAAACACAUCAGAAAUAAAAGCAGUUCCACAGAACUCUGUCCAAAGCUUAGAAACAAGUGCAGCUUCACAGAUAUCUGUCCAAUCCUCAGGUUGCUCAGUCACUAUUAACUCCUCUGCCCAUGUAUUCAGACCAAGUGGGGCUCAGAUUUCUGGUCUCACUCUGAACAUAAAUGUGAGACCUCAAAAACAGGAAUAAUUUACACAAGCAUGUGAGCUAAACAGAAUGACCAGGUUAAGAUGUGGAAGUUUCUGGAGUACACAAACAGCACAAAGGCUGCUGAGCUUCUGAUUGAUGCCUUAUAUAAACCUGCACCUGACAUCAUGGAGGACCUGAACAUGGGCUAACAUCUCAGUGUCAAAAAUCAAACCAAAUACCUCCUGAUGGGAUGUGUCUUUUUUAUUCCAGUUUCUGUAUAAAAAUAUUUUUUUUAUAUCUUAUAAAUGCUGUGAGUAAAU